UGCAUAUCAAUAAGCGGAGGAAAAGAAACCAACAGGGAUUGCCUUAGUAACGGCGAGUGAAGCGGCAAGAGCUCAAAUUUGAAAUCCUCUACCAAGAGGAGUUGUAAUUUGUAGGUUGCGACUUGAGUAGGCAGCACAAGUCUCCUGGAACGGAGCGCCUUAGAGGGUGAGAGCCCCGUAAGCUGUAACUCAUUGUAAGUUGUUUCCAAAGAGUCGAGUUGUUUGGGAAUGCAGCUCUAAGUGGGAGGUAAAUUCCUUCUAAAGCUAAAUAUUGGCGAGAGACCGAUAGCGAACAAGUACAGUGAUGGAAAGAUGAAAAGAACUUUGAAAAGAGAGUGAAAAAGUACGUGAAAUUGUUAAAAGGGAAGGGUACUGCAUGAGACUUGGGCGUAGAGUUCAGCCGUCAUUCGUGUCGGUGUAUUCUUUGCGCCUAGGCCAGGGAGAGGUGUUUGGGAGUCAAAAAGGUUUAGCAAUGUGGCUCUUCGGAGUGUUAUAGGCUAUUCUAAUAGCUCCUCAGGCGCCUCAGGACUGCGCUUCGGCAAGGUCUCUGGCGUAAUCAUUCAGUACCGCCCGUCUUGAAACACGGACC
rnacentral:rRNA from 1 species